UUCAAUGAAGAACAAAAGGGGUCGGGUAAGCUAGCUUCUGAAGCGUCGGGAGAGGAGACAGAGGGGCAGUCCUCUCAGGAAUUCGACUGGAAACUAUACGUAGAUGGGGCAUCAAGCGCCGGGGGCAGUGGCGCUGGAAUACUGCUGAAGGGACCAGGAGAAUUUAAGGUUUGCUAUGCCCUACGCCUAGAAUUCAAGGCUUCCAAUAAUGUGGCAGAGUAUGAAGCCCUAAUAAAUGGGAUGCUGGUGGCAA
rnacentral:lncRNA from 1 species